AUGACUUUGAUCUGCGUCCUCAUCUGGACUCUCCUCUGCUGCUGCUUCACAGAGUCCAGAGGACAGGUCACAGUGACUCAGCCUGGAGCAGUGAGCUCUGCUCCGGGAGGCUCCGUCUCCAUCAGCUGUAGGACCAGUCAUAGAGUAGAUGGAGUGGAUCUGUCUUGGUACCAACAGAGAGAUGGAGAAACUCCUGAACUGCUUAUUCACACUACUAGCUCUCGUCAGUCAGGGACUCCAGAUCGUUUUACAGGCAGUGGAUCAAACUCUGACUUCACUCUGACCAUCAGUGGAGUUCAGACUGAGGAUGCAGCAGUUUACUACUGCAUGGGGGAAUUCUAUCCCAACAGUCAGUGGGUGUUCACACAGUGAAAAAGCGUCGUACAAAAACCUCCCUCAGUCAGCAGAACAGAAACUGAACUUACUGCUGCAGGUGGAAGCUACUGCAGAGACUGACACA